rnacentral:misc_RNA from 1 species
GAACUGCGAAACGUAAUGUGACCUGCACUCUUCGUGAAUCAUCCAAUCUUUGAACGCACUUUGCACCUCGUGGCUUUUGUCACGAGGUAUACUUGUUUGAGUAUCCGUAACCAUCUCACCUCUCCCUCGGGGCGGUGGACGCUGAGAUUCGACGAGCAGUAAUAGCGAGUCGUCUCUUGAAAACUAUGGCCCGUCUGUGGUAGGUCUCCGUUGGGACCUGACCGACCAUUUGGAUAACGUCCUACAAUUGUCGUGUCAGUGUCCGUAUCAGCGUUGACUGUCCUUGGCCACCCAGAUCCAAGUGGGCACCAGUAACGUGGUGCCUGUGGCGAUCAACACUUGCAACUGGAUCUCAAAUCAAGUAAGGAUACCCGCUGAACUUAA